UGUUCCAGGCUCAUCAACCAGUACGGGGACUCCCACCCCAACGACUCCAACCACCCCACCGAGGGAGACCACCUCCGUCACUGAGGGUCAGGGGGGAGGUGGGUCUGAAGGGCUUUCAGAUGGCGCCAUCGCAGGCAUCACCAUUGGUUCUAUUGCCGGUGUGGCCGCUGUUGGUGGUGGUAUCUUUGGAGUACUGAAGUACACUGGGAGAGUGUGAAAAGCAAGACUGCAUCUAUGAUUAUUUACAUUUUGAAAACUACUGCUACUAAUAAAAGAACACUUUUAAUUCCGUUAUUUUUCUUUUUGGAGUGAAAUAAAAAGGGCUAAUUGUAUGUGAACGUGUAUUUUUUUAAAUAAAUAAUCCUUACAAACGAA